rfam:Triticum aestivum genome assembly, contig: Triticum_aestivum_CS42_TGACv1_scaffold_129292_2BL
CAAUUACUCCCUCCGUCCGAAAAUACUUGUCAUCAAAAUGGACAAAAAUGGAUGUAUCUAGAACUAAAAUACAUCUAGAUACAUCCAAUUUUAUGCAUUUUGAUGACAAGUAUUUACGGGCGGAGGGAGUAUUAA